rnacentral:lncRNA from 1 species
AUGCAGAGCUUGACAACUGCUCCAGAACUCCAUUCUCCAAGACACAGAGCUGAUGACCACGGAACCAAGGGAGCAGUUGAGUUGACCCUGAAGCAGAAGGAUCUGGACCACCUAAGUCUGAGGUGUGUGGCUGGAGGAACCCAUUUGUGCAUUCCACGUGGCAGAGAAAAGUCAAGGUCAGUGAGGCAGGCAAUCAUGGGACAUGCUUUUCCCUGCCUCCCCCACCUGACCCACUUCUCAUGAUCCACCUGCUUCAGCCACCUCAGGCCCCGUCCUAGCUGCCAGAUGCUAACUGAGGCUGUUCCUCAAAUUGCCAGGAGAUUGCUAUCCAAACUGUCACCCCCUGAUCAGAAAAGAAGGAGUUAUGGAAAGUAACUGACAGCACCUGAGCGAUCUCUCAUUUGGAUUAAAUCAAGAUCUUUAAAUAUUUAUAAAGUUCUGGUAUCUAAAAUAGCCAGCCCUUGCCUUGCACACAGGCGGUUGAAAUAUGGGCCUAGUGCAUUCUAAACUGAAUACUUGUCUGAGCAGUCAUAUAUUUUGUUUGUGUGUGAGAGUAUAACAGUGUGUGUGAUUGUGUGUGUGUGUAUGUGUGUGUAUGUUGAAAAACCUAUUGCAUUAUGUUAAAUAUCCCAAGGGCUCCGUAUAGAACAUGACUGGAAUGAAUAUAGGACAAGAAUAACUUUUUUCUAUCUCAUUAGAUGGUCUGAGUUUUGAAAUCUGCUCUAAAAGUGUGGUAAAGUGUUCAGUGUUGUAGAUUAAUGCACUGAAUACAUUUCUACAGUUCUUGAUGUGUUUCAUAAAAGGUCCAUUUCAAAAGUGUGCUGUAUUAUAGGUGAACACUCGCAGUAAAUAAUCUUGUUACAGAAACCUAAGCAAUUUUUACGAGGCGUAUUUCUGGCUGACUGAACAAUUUAUUCUCCAGAUGUCACAUUGUAUUUUUCCAAUAUAAAAUGAAACAGCUUUUUUUUUCUUUUAAGGCUGACUGUGCUGCUUUGUCUGAGUCUAGAACAAAGGAUCUCUCCUUAAGGAGGCUGAUGUGGUGUUAAAGCCCAUCACUUUAAAAUUAACACUACACCUGGGAAGGGCAGGCAGUACCAUCGUUGGCUUGCUUUUUCAGGAAUGAUCCUUGACAAUCAGGCAGGACACUCCCCUGAGUCAUCCAGCUGGAGAAAACUCUCUGGCUUCUUGAAAAGUCAAGGAGAGUGAGAGAAAAAGGGUGAGGAGAGUGAAUAGGAGGGGCAGG